rnacentral:rRNA from 1 species
UACGGGGGGGGCAAGCGUUGUUCGGAAUUACUGGGCGUAAAGGGCUCGUAGGCGGCCAACUAAGUCAGACGUGAAAUCCCUCGGCUUAACCGGGGAACUGCGUCUGAUACUGGAUGGCUUGAGUUUGGGAGAGGGAUGCGGAAUUCCAGGUGUAGCGGUGAAAUGCGUAGAUAUCGAGAGGAACACCAGUGGCGAAGGCGAGUCUCUGGACAUUUCCUAACGCUGAGGCACGAAAGCCAGGGGAGCAAACGGG